GAACGCUGGCGGCAGGCCUAACACAUGCAAGUCGAGCGGAUGAGGGGAGCUUGCUCCCGGAUUUAGCGGCGGACGGGUGAGUAAUGCCUAGGAAUCUGCCUGGUAGGUGGGGACAACGACUCGAAAGGGUCGCUAAUACCGCAUACGUCCUACGGGAGAAAGUGGGGGGAUCUUCGGACCUCACGCUAUCAGAUGAGCCUAGGUCGGAUUAGCUAGUAGGUGAGGUAAUGGCUCACCUAGGCAACGAUCCGUAACUGGUCUGAGAGGAUGAUCAGUCACACUGGAACUGAGACACGGUCCAGACUCCUACGGGAGGCAGCAGUGGGGAAUAUUGGACAAUGGGCGAAAGCCUGAUCCAGCCAUGCCGCGUGUGUGAAGAAGGUCUUCGGAUUGUAAAGCACUUUAAGUUGGGAGGAAGGGUUGUAGUUUAAUACGCUGCAAUCUUGACGUUACCAACAGAAUAAGCACCGGCUAACUCCGUG
rnacentral:rRNA from 1 species